rnacentral:rRNA from 1 species
GAUGAACGCUGGCGGCGUGCCUAAUACAUGCAAGUCGGGCGAACGGACGAGAAGCUUGCUUCUCUGAUGUUAGCGGCGGACGGGUGAGUAACACGUGGAUAACCUACCUAUAAGACUGGGAUAACUUCGGGAAACCGGAGCUAAUACCGGAUAAUAUUUUGAACCGCAUGGUUCAAAAGUGAAAGACGGUCUUGCUGUCACUUAUAGAUGGAUCCGCGCUGCAUUAGCUAGUUGGUAAGGUAACGGCUUACCAAGGCAACGAUGCAUAGCCGACCUGAGAGGAGGAACGGCCAAAGUGGAACUGAGACACGGGCCAGACUCCGACGGGAGGCAGCAGUAGGGAAUCUUCUGCAAUGGGCGAAAGCUUGACGGAGCAAUGCCGCGUGAGUGAUGAAGGUCUUCGGAUCGUAAAACUCUGUGAUUAGGGAAGAACAAAUGUGUAAGUAACUAUGCACGUCUUGACGGUACCUAAUCAGAAAGCCACGGCUAACUACGCG